rnacentral:lncRNA from 1 species
GGAUUUCACCAAGUAUAGGGUAUACCGCGUAUACAGGUUAUUCCAACAGAAUAAUAAAGAAUGGAAUAACAGAAGUUCUCUUCAUGAAUAAGAAAGAAUAACACCCCUUACGGUAAAAGAAACUGGAUAUAGAAGUAGUGAAGUAGCAGAAAACUUCUUCUUUCUCUCUAUAAUUUCUCUCUCUAGAGUUUCAGUGAAUUCGUAAGAAAUAAUGAAGGAAUGAGCUUCUAUUUAUAGAAGAAUGGAUUGAAUAGUAACUAAUUCCUGAACGGUCCAGAUUGAUUUACUUUUAAA